CUGCUGACCAAUCAGAGGUAAGCUUUCAUAGUCUGUCUAGCUGACUGUGAGCUGCCUGUUCAGGUGUGCUCGGCGCAGCUUUGCCGGUGAAGGUUCAGGGGGUGCCGUACGGUUUCCUCGCGUUGUGUGAAAUCCCAGUGAGCUCUGGUCGGUCACGAGCUCGGAAGCCGUUAUUUAUGUUUGUUUUUUACGAUAGAGAAAUCUUGUAUUGACGUCCCUUGUGCUGUUUGCAAUGUUGUGUGUGAGAGAAAAUAGCUCUUCAGGUAUUGUACCAGGGGGCCUCCUGCAAUGUGUACCUAGUGGGUGUACAUUUAAUAGGAGUCACGGUGAGUGCUUUUAGUAAGACACUGUCGCCAUGUGUAUUAACAUCAUAAAUGUAAAGUGUUUUUCCUCAUUAAAGGGACAAUGUAGACAACAUAACCAUUACUAACUGCAAGGUAAGUGUGAAGAUAUUGGUAAAUGCUUUAACAGAUCACCAGGUGAUGGUGCCAGGCACUACUAACCACUCUUAUAUUCUAUUAUUAUUAUGAUAUUUAUAUAGCGCUGUCAAAUUCCGCAGUGCUUUACAAUGUGUGGACGAACAGACAUGUAUUUGUAACCAGACAAGUUGGACACACAGGAACAGAGGGGUUGAGGGCCCUGCUCAAUGAGCUUACAUGCUAGAGGGAGUGGGGUAUAGUGACACAAAAAGGUAAGGAUAGUUUUAGAGUAAUUAUUUACCUGCAUAGGGUAUAUCUAAGUGACUUUUAGAUAUGUGAUAUAUAUAUAUAUAUAUAUAUAUAUCUAUAUAUCAUGUAUUUGUUUUGAGGGGACAUUAUAUUGCUAGACAUACAAACCUGUUUACCUGGCACUAUAGCGCCCUGCUAACUAUCUAGGCAUACUAAUAUGCUGUGUGAGGAUUUGCUUGCCUUUUAGAAGCCCAUGUGUUUUUUUUUGUUGUUUUUUUUUCUGCUUCGCCUCUUUGACUGACAAUAGUCAAUUGAACGAUUCCUCAGUCAGAGGCUUUUUGCACAUAACCAGCGGAACACUACACUGCGCUAACUUUUAUUGUUGUUCUACAAACAUGGUUUCAUUUAGAAGGAACAGCCAGUGGAGCCAAACCCAAGAAGCAGCAAGUGCCCACACCACCUGCCUUGCAAAGACUUCUCAUUGAGCUGCAUUAUGGCAUCUGUGAUUGGACAGCCACAGAAAGCUGGGCAGGGUUAGAAGGGGAGGGUUUGUAAAGGCAAGCGGACAAGAGAACUGCAGGUUUUGCAAGCUGUUUUUAGUAUAGUAGUACAGUAACUUUUUAUUUAUAUUAUAUUUAGAGAGUGGAGUAUCCCUUUAAGCUCUGUUCACUGGAAUAAGAAAACUGUAAAAGCUAAUCCUCCCUAUAAAAGAGGUAGUACUACAUUUUCCUCUGUAUAAUGUAAAAACUAAAGUGAAUUUCAUAGAAAUAGAAACAAAAAAAGCACGAAUGCCUUUAAAGAAACAUUAUAGUGUCAGGAAUACAAACUUGGCCGGCCCCAACUUACCCUAAUUUAAAAAGGUGAAAAUUCACCUUCCAGUGCUUUGCAGGCCUGCCAUAGCUGGCUUUGCCUCUGACUGAGAUCAUCAAAAUUUACGUUCCUAGCCAGGACCAUUCAGCGCUGACCUAGGAAGUCGCUCUAGUGACUGAAUGAUGGCCACUAGAGGUGUUCCUAGGCAGUAAUAUAAACAGCCUUUUCUUGGAAAAGACUGUUUACAUUUAAAAAAAAAAAAAGUAAACAUUUAGUUGUAGUUGUUCUAGUGAUUAUAGUAUUCCUUUAAGGAGGGAGGCAACUGUGCCACUUCUGAACCAAAACAAAACCUAGAAAUUGUUCAUUUUUUUUAUUUUUUAUUAUAUAUAAUGUAAUAAUGUGAUUAUGACUAAGAGAAUGCACGCUUAGCACAAUUACAUCACAAUUUCACCCGUUCUAUUUAAGUGCACCCAUACACAUUCUAUUUGAUUAUUUAAGGGACAAGUAGGACUUUCCUUUGAGAGGAUCUGCGGAGGUGAAUGGCAGAAACUACUCAAAUCCAGAUGAGCAAAGCUUGAUGCCUCAUAACCGAAAAAAUUUCAAGCUGUAUAUGCUGCCAAAAGAGCUUCAUCUAAGUACUGAGUUAAGGGUUUGAAUAAUUGUCAAUGUGAUAUUACAGACCUUUCUGUUUAAUAUAUUUGCACGGUUUGAGUAUUAUUUUAUGGUAGUCUUUUUUUUUUAUUUUUUGUGUUUUGUUUGUGUUUUUUUCCCAUGACUUUAAUCUACACUCUUGUGUAGCGAUCUAUUGUCUCACCCCUCUAGGUGGUAUUUUGUGUAUUGCUCAUACUUGGGUCCAAGAACUCCUCUCUUCUGGACAGAGAUUUGGAUGCCCCACCUGGAAUCUGUUGAAACCACUCUCUCUCUCAACUUGGGUUUUAUUACCUCAAGUGCUCUGCCCACCACCAAGACUGCUACUACCUUCACUUUCCACAUCCUUUUUAAUUAAAAUUUUAACCCUUGGCGUUUGUCAACCUUAUGUUCCUUCUUGUUGAUGGUAUGGUCACUUGGUAUUGCUACAUCCACCACCUUUGCAAUCUUCCAUUCUUUGUCUUCCAACGUAAUUGAUUGGACACCGUGCUUUGUGUAGUUAUACAGGAACUUCACCCUGUCACUUUCUUUUUACAUUGUGUGGCUCCCAUUUGGACUGAGGCAUGAGAGUGAGAUUUAUAAAAUAUUUUACCAGGAACGAUACAUUGAGAUUUCUCUAGUUUUUAAGGAUGUCCUGGGUAUACUCAAAGAUGUCCUGGGUGGGUUAUUUUUAUAUAAUAGCUAUAUAUAUCUAUUUCACACAUACAUACACACCUUCAAUAUUUAAGUCCUAUCCUACUUGCCAUCGCCACUACAAGCCUGGAAAAUCCAUGGCAUACUCACCAAGGGUGAAGUUUACCUUGCUAGUUGUGAGCUGAAAUUGCGAACCCUGAUGUAUUUUCAUAUUUUAUAUAGCACUAACUAAUUCUGCAGUGCUUUAUAAUAAAAAAAGACAAUUACAUGUAUAUAUGUUUGCAUGGAAUUAAUAGAUUUACUUGUUUAAGGAAUUAUAACAGUUGCCCAAAUACCUGUACUGGCAUAGAAGAUAUCAUCAUACUGGGGUGCCUGGCUAGAGCAGGUGUGGUGGAAUACCCUUGACAAGAUGGGUUACUACUGCCUAAGUUGACCUUUCCCAGUGUAUAUCGCUCCAGAGUGAUUAUACCAUCCUGCAUGAAGCACCACUGUCUCACCCAAACACUAGCUGAGAUUUAGUAAUGAGUAAACUGUGUUGAGUCAAGCACAGACAAGUUUAUACCCAGACAAACAGUGUGAGGUCUUCAUUCAUAACAAAUGGUUGUUCUUGGGUAGAACAUUGGCUUAAAAACAGAGUACAAAGAGUUGUCAUUAAUGGUAAAUUUUCAAGCUGGACAGAGGUGGCACGUGGUGUCCCUCGGGGGUCUGUUCUGGGACCCCUUCUAUUUAACAUGUUUAUAAAUGAUCUUGAAGACAGCAUUGAAAGUCAUGUUUCAGUGUUUGCAGAUGACACAAAACUUGGUAAAAUAAUACAAUGUGAGCAAGAUAUUACUUUGCUGCAGAGGGCUUUAGGUAGACUGGGGGACUGAGCACUCAAAUGGCAGAUGAAAUUUAAUGUUGAAAAAUGCAGUAAUGCAUAAGCAACGUAUACCCUUAAUGGAAGUGAAUUAGGGAUAACAACACACGAAAAGGACUUGGGAAUUGUUAUAGACGGCAAACUAUGCAAAAAUGUGCAAUGUCAAUCAACAGUGGCCAAGGCCAGUAAGGUAUUGUCGUGCAUGAAAAAGGGCAUUAAUUCUCGGGUUGAGAAUAUCAUUUUGCCUCUUUAUAACUCGCUGGCAAGACCACAUAUUGAAUAUGCUGUGUGUAACGGAUCACCUGGCACCCUGACUGGGUAUCUCCGUUGAAGGAAGCAUCUAGCACUUCCUGAGGGUUUCCAGCACUCAAGCAGACAUCAUAACCACCAUAGACUCCUUCAGAGAGCAAGAACAAGCUCUUACAAGAGCUUAGCAGUGCAUAUAGCAAGAGAGUAUGCAAAGCAUAGCAAUCCCUUGUAGCAGAUUCCCCCAAUAAGAGACAGGACUCCAAUUUGAAGGUGAAGUAGAACUGUCUAAAACUUUAGUUUACUUGGGUCUAGCCCAUAUGGUCAUUACAUUAACAUUGCUGUGAAGACUCAAUAAAAUUACAAACAGUCAAAUUAUAGCAGGCAACAUACAGUCACUUAUAACAUAAUUACAUAUUUAUAAAUGGAUGGGGAAUACCAUAAUUAACAGAAAAUGUCUCUCCUGCAUGCAGAAUUAGCGAAAUGCAAAUUACCAGUCUUGCUAUUCAGGUAGUGCAUAUUACUGUUGCUACCAACAGAGGGCACUACACAAGCUAGUCAAAUCCACCUAGUUGGUAGCAAUCCUCAGCAGUACAGGAGAGCAGGCAAUACAUCCCAGGGUCCAUAGUCACAUGGCAGGAGACUGGCAAUCAGUCUUCUCCAAUGCCCAGUGGCGAGGCUGAAUCCGCCACACUGCAAUUUUGGGCACCUGUUCUAAAGAAGAAUAUUAUGGCACUACAAAAAGUGCAGAGGCGGGCUACCAAAUUAAUAAAAAAUUAAUAUGAAGAAAGGUUAACAAAUUUAAACCCAUUUAGUUUAGAAAAACGUUGCCUGAUCGGGGAUAUGAUAACAUUAUACAAACAUAUUUGGGGCCAAUACAAACCAUUGUGUGGAAAUCUAUUCAGAAACCGGACUUUACAUAAGACACGAGGCCAUGCGUUUAGACUGGAAUAAAGAAGAUUUCGUCUAAGGCAAAGGAAAGGUUUUUUUUUUUUACUGUAAGAACAAUCAGGAUGUGGAAUUCUCUGCCUGAAGAAGUGGUUUUAUCAGAGUCCAUACAGAUGUUCAAACCGCUACUAGAUGCAUACUUACAAAAACAGAAUAUUCAAGGAUAUAAUCUUUCAAUGUAGGGUAAUAACUGCUUGAUCCAAGGAUAAAUCUGACUGCCAUUCUGGGGUCAAGAAGGAAUUUUUUUCCUAGCUUGUUGCAAAAUUGUGCUUCAGACUGGGUUUUUUUGCCUUCUUUUGGAUCAACAGCAAAAAACAAAUGUGAGGAAGGCUGAACUUGAUGGACGCAAGUAACACAGGCCCCCCAGCCAUCUGUGUCUUAGUGAUAAUUGAGUUAAAUUAUCUCUCCGACACAGUGCAAUACAUAAAACACAAUACAGAGGCAUAUAUUCCUGAAAAGGUCUUUCUGGAGCAACCAUGUUGUCCAAAAAAUACCCGGAUUGGAUGUGGCUAGCCUGAAUUAGACUGAAAGCGCUCCAGUUAAAAUUUUAAUAGAUCGCCAUGAAUCUGUGAUCCACUUUAGAGUUCCAUGAGGCUUAAGGGUUGCUCCAUGGUCAGGCGCUGGGCUGUGCAACAUGGGUUGGAAGGUUAAUCCAUACUGUUAGUCUGUUUAGAGCAGGUGGAAGCCUGGGGAGACAUGUAUCCAACGUAGGUGACCAGUAGGUUCGUCACAACAAAUUUCUACACAUCAAAUGUGAAUAAAAAAAAAAGGCUGAGACAAAAAUGCGAAUUUUGAAAAAUUCUCCUGUCCACAUGUAGUAAAAACAUUUUGUCUCUGUUUAUUUCCAUUCAAAUUUAAUUUGUGAACAUUCAGAGCUUAGUUAAUAGCCCUUAGUGACUCACGUUCUUCUCCCUGUGGUGUUUUGUAAUGUGUGAGGUGUGUUUGUGUGAUGUUUCCUGGCAGUGGGUAGUGUAUCUAUGUGAGUAAUGUUUGCUUGUGUGUAAUAUGAUAUUUUAACAUGUUUAUGCUCUGUUUUGCACCCACCUCCAUCUGCUUCACUUUCUGUAGGGAAGGGAGCUGUGAUCCCUGGUAGCUCAGUGGGGGUUAAAACUCCUUAAUGGUCCUGUUUAAAUAUGGGGUCUGAACCUCUGACUGGUGCAGAGCACAUUAAUCGAUCACUCCAGCAUCCAGUGCAGAAGCUAUUACAAUGGUUUGCACCCACCAGAGGUACAGACCACAAACUCCCUACCCCAGACUUGUCCUCUGUAGAAGCUCUGUCAUGGGCAAGCAGCCUUGUAUGCUCGUGGUUGAGCUAAAGGCAGAAAUAAAUACACAGCCUGUACCUGAAACUGCAUGUUCUAGGCAUUGGGCAAUAUACAUUUCUGUGAGUGUGUGUGUGUGUGUGUGUGUGUAUGUAUAUGUGUGUGUGUGUGUAUAUAUAUAUAUAUAUAUAUAUAUAUAUAUAUUGUAAGCGUAAAAGUGGAAUAGUGGUUGAUGGAAGAUACAUCAGGCCUGAUUUGCUAAACAGCAACCAGAGAAUUUUCAGUUAAAUGCCCCAGGGAGAGAUGUUAAAGUUUGCAAUAUACAUUGCUGAUGCUCUGCAAAACAUGGUAUGGGUCCCUGGGGCAGAGUAUUUGGAGAGUAGGGUGGGCCAAUGCUCCAACAGCACUAGUUGCUGUGUAACAGGCCAGAAUUUGGAUCUGACUUAAGAGUUUACUAAUUGGCACUCACCUGUAGCUAGUCAAUUAGUAGACGGGCCUUUAAAAGAAGAGAGCAGCCUGCUGCAGAGGGAGGGAGAAAAGGCCAGCUGUAGAAAGGUCCACUGAGAUAUUGAGGGACUGACAGAAGGCAUUCCAGAAGUGGGAGGUGAACUGGCUCCCUCUUUCGGAGAGGCUAGAGUCAGGAAUCCCAUGUAAUCUAAAUACGUGGUCGUGCAAAAGUGUGGCCAUUCUUUUGGCAGUGGGGAGCCCCUUUACUUAGAUAAAAUGGGCCAUCUUGGUUAAACGAUCGACAGUGACCAUUAUGGUAUUGUAUCCAUGGGAUUCAGGGAGGUCGACUGCGAUAUGACUCCAGGGUCUGGAAGGGAUUGGUAGAGGUUGUAAUAGGCCAGCCAUCUCCAUUAGUGCUUUUGCUCUGGCACAGGUAGUACAGGUACUCACAUAGUUUUUUACAUCCUGCUUAAGGGUAGGUCUUUCAUUGUCCACUAUGACCAGAUAUUGGAGCAUCAUGGAAGUGUUGCAGUAUGCACAGGCAAAAGGGUUCAGCAACAUAGAUCUUCCCAUGCAACAUUGGGAAUACUUCUGGAGACAGAGGCAGGUUAGUAGUGGCAAUGUCCUUUACAAUUGUAGACAUAAUGCCUAGGAAGUGUUGUUGACUUUGCACCAUCUCUUAUUUUUGUUUGUUUAGUGUCAUCUGUAGUGAACAUUCUUGAAAAGGCAUCUUUUAAGUUUUUUGAUUCCAUCCGAUAGGUGAAGUGGAAUAAGAACCUAGAAAAGAAUAAUGCCCAGCGGGCUUGUCGUGGAUUGAGUCGUCUUGCUAAGCAUAGGUACUCUAGGUUCUUGUGAUCUGUAUAAACUGUGAUAGGAUGAUUUGUACCCUCUAAUCGAUGCCUCCAUUCUUCCAGGGCUCUCUUUAUAGCCAGUAGUUCCCUGUCACCAACGUCCUAAUUUGUCUCCGCUUUGGUCAGCCUCUUUGAAUAAAAAUACAAAAAAACAAGUCCUGUGCUCACUCCCAUCACUCCACAGUACAGUACUUUUUCUUUGCUCUUUGAAUAAAAGACGACAGGAUGAAGUGUAUCCGUUUUUUCCUCUUUGAGACAUAACUGCCCCAGUGACGAUAAUGGAGGUAUCGACCUCGAGUAAGAAAGGUUUAUAGUGCUUAGGUAUACAUAAUAUAGGGGCUGUGAUGAACAUUUGUUUUAGUUUAUUGAAGGCUGUGAGAAAACCUAUUUUGGUUUCAAGGUUUUCUUAUAGUCGAACACCAUGUGGCUGAGAAAACGGCGGCCAUCUUGUUUGCAUGAAAGGAGGCAGCGGGACUUGGUCGUCGAGUGUCUGGAACAAAAAUUGGACACUCAACUUCCCGAACACUGCUGAAACCAUGCGAAUGCCUGCUUCCUUUUGUUGCCGAACAGCCAGGAGAGCGCCGUUCGGUUCCCAUGAACAAGGGGAACAAUCGCUCCUAUCAGCCAGGAGGCUCCGUUCGUAGUUUUAUUUGGUUUUUAUGACUUUUCGAAAUUGACUGACCGCACACACUGAAUUCAUGGAACUAUUUUGGGCAGCAGCCUCGUGUGCGGUCGGUGAAUUAAGACUUCCACACUUUUCAAAACCCCCUGAACUGAUCUGGGUGAACUUUGAAUAUGUUGGUCACCCAGAUCGGGGCUAUCAGGGGAUAUGCUAUUUGUGGGGAUAUCAUGUCCUUAAAGGGAUGUUCUAAGUUUUGGGGAAAAUAUGUUCCCUUUGCAUGGAGAUAAUGGGAUUAUCCUUUAACUUAUCCAAUUAUCUCAGAGGCGGAGAGAGGGAGUGUUUAACUUAAAUCAAGCACUGUGAUUGGUUGUCAUGUGGGGAGUGGGGACACCAGGUCACUAAACGGCAGCUGGUAGUACCCAGGAAAUCUAUGGCAGAACUGCUCAAAUUGAGCCAUGAUAUUCCCCUAGCAGGUCAUUUAGGGGUCACCAAAUCCAGGGACAGUUUAACCCAAACCUUUUUCUGGCCAGGGAUAUCCCAGGAUAUCAAGGCCUAUUGCAGGACCUGUGACGUGUGUCAAAGGACAGGGAGGAGAGGAGAUCGCCAAAGGGCCAAGCUCCACCCGCUACCUAUUAUUGAGGAACCCUUCCACCGGGUAGCCAUAGAUAUGACAGGUCCACUUAGCAUGCCUAGCACCUCUGGAAAGCGCUACAUCCUUACCGUGGUAGACUAUGCUAGGCAGUAGCCCUUUCCAACAUAGAGGCAGAGACGGUGGCUGAGACCUUAGUAAAGAUUAUUACUCCCCAGGGAGAUCUUGUCGGACAGGAGGACACAAUUCACCGCCACUGUAACCCAACAGUUAUGGCAGAGUUGCGGUGUCAAACCCCUGUUCAGCUCCCCCUACCAUCCCCAGCCGAAUGGACUAUGUGAACGUUUUAACGGUACCCUUAAGCAGAUGCUUAAGACGUUCACAGUGUCCUGUUUGCCAACCGCGAAGUGCCUCAGGCCUCUACAGGGUUCUCCCCCUUCGAACUCCUUUAUGGGAGAAAAGUCCGGGGACCCCUGGACCUCAUACGAGAGCAUUGGGAGGGCAACACAGGUGAGGAGAGAGUCCCUAUUGUGCAGUAUGUUCUGGAGUUCCGGGACCGCUUGCAGACCCUCACAGAAUCUGUCUGGGAAUACCUGCAGGCGGCCCAGAGCUGCCAGAAGAGAUGGUACGAUAGGGGUGCCCGAGAUGUAGUCCUGUAAAUAGGACCGCGUGUGCUGGCCCUGAAGCCCUCUAAGAAAGACAAGCUUCAGGCCGCAUGGCAGGGACCCUUCAAGGUGGUGGAGAAAAUUAGUGACACCUCGUACAUAGUCAGCAAGUGUUCAGAUGAAAGGAUACGGAGAGCCUUUCAUGUGAACGUGCUGAAACCUUAUUUUGAGCGGGUAGGUGAUUUAGCGGCCGUGUGCACCCCUGCCUGUGAGGACAGCGAGGGGCUUCCCUUACCUGACUUACUAGCCCCCAGCCCCAACUCUAUAGAGCAAGUACAACUGGGUGAGACUUUAACUUCCCAGGUAAAAAGAGAGGCAUCUCAACUGCUUUAGGGAUAACGGGACAUGUUCUCAGCCAUACCUGGGGUCCACCGAGUGGAGACCCAGGUAGAUACCCCGCUGAGGCAACAGCCCUACCGUAUCCCUGCAGCGGUUAGAGACCAAAUGCUCUCUGAGAUACAAGAGAUGCUCCAGCUAGGGGUUAUAGAACCCUCCCAGAGUCCUUGGGCCUCCCCAGUAGUGCUAGUACCGAAGCAAGAUGGUACGACUUGCUUCUCUGUCGACUACCGGAACCUCAAUGACCGAACCAUCACAGACGCCUACCCCAUGCCAAGGAUAGACAAACUCCUACAUAGAAUGGCUGAGGGGAAUUAUCUCACUACCCUGGACUUAUGCAAGGGAUAUUGGCAGGGAUUUCAGGACUUUGCAUGUGUCUAUCUGGAUGACAUAGCCAUCUACAGUGGCACAUGGGAGUCCCACCUAGAGCGUGUGUCCAGGGUACUGGAGAGAAUUCAGACCGCAGGGCUUACCCUUAAGCCCGACAAAUGUCAUGUAGGUAUGGCCAAGGUCCUGUACCUCGGACAUAGAGUAGGUUCAGGCAAACAGCGGCCUGAACCAGCCAAAGUAGAGGCUAUUGCCAGUUGGCCUCAACCACGCACCAAAACCCAAGUGCUAGCUUUCUUUGGGACGGCAGGGUAUUACCGGAAAUUUGUCCGCGAGUAUAGUGCCCUGGCCAAACCCCUCAGUGACCUAACCAAAAAGCCCUUCCCAAACAAUUAGUUUGGUCCCUGGAGUGUGCGGAAGCCUUCCAGAAACUAAAAACGGCGCACAGCGAGGCACCUGUUUUGGCUGCCCCACACUGUAACAAACUGUUUCUUGUGCAUACAGAUGCCUCCAUGUUUGGGCUGGGAGCUGUGCUAAGUCAAGUGGGAGAUGACGGAAUGGAGCACCCGGUGGCGUACCUUAGCCGAAAACUACUCCCACGGGAAGUCGCCACCGUGGAAAAGGAAUGCUUGGCUCUGGUAUGGGCCCUUAAGAAGGUCCAACCCUAUUUGUAUGGACGCCCAUUUACCCUAAUGAUUGACCACAAUCCCCUAAUUUGGUUGAACCGGGUAGCAGGAGAUAACCCCCGACUAUUACGCUGUAGCCUGGACUUACAACCGUACAAUUUCACCAUGCUGUACAGGCCAGGCAAACAGAAUGGGAAUACGGAUGGUUUAUCCUGCCAAACCGAAUUGGAACUAUAAAACUUCUCCCGGUCAUCCUCAAGCCAACCCAACAGGGUCUAGGCGGGUAUGCCGACCCAUGGAUUAAGGGGGAGCAGUGUGAGAGAACCUAUUUUGGUUUCGAGGUUUUCUUUGACCAUUCGUCUAUUUUCAGUUUUCCUGGUUCAAUAGAUUAAACUACCGAACACCGACCACUCUCCUGGCUCAUUAACUACAAAGGGAACCGUCAAUCGAGCGCUAUCUCUGUGUGGCUGCCGUUCGUAUAGUCGAACACCACGUGGCAGAGAAAAGGGCGGCCAUCUUGUUUGCAUGAAAGGAGGUAGCGGGACUUGGUCGUCGAGUGUCUGGAACUAAAAUCGGACACUCGACUUCCCGAACACUGCUGAAACUAUACGAACGCCUGCUUCCUUUUGUUGGCGAACAGCCAGGUAACAAGUCUAUGGGGCAAUCUUAUUCCCUGCGUGGUGGUAAAGUAUCAACCCCUUUUUUGUCAAAAACAUCUGCGUAAUCGUGAUACACCUUGGGAAGUAGAAAGUCUUGGCUUUUCUUCAUAUUAAUAUCCAGGAUGGAGCGUAUGUAACCUGUGGUGAGGUUUUUACGGAGGCAGAGAGUGGAGAAGCUCCCUGAGGCCCACUUGAUAGCGGGAUCGUGCUUACGUAACCAGGGAAUUCCGGGAAUCGAGACAAGGAAACAAGAUCAAAUACAAUGUAUUCUUGAUGUUUCCCUAUAGAGACAAGAAUAGGUUUGGUUUGUUUCAGUAAGGGGCCUGGGUCUCAAAUAUCCCAAAACGCCAGUUUGUGAGGUGCAAAAAGGAACUGCACUGAUGAAAGCACUUUUUUGGAACAAUCCUCACUUUAAAAAACAAACCAUUUUAUCAAAAGGGAUAUGAGAAAAGGGAGGUAGAAAAACUAUUUAAAGAAGUUCAUGAAAAACCUAAAAGGGAUAUUUUAAAAUCUAAUUUCAAAGCUGAGAAACCAAUGGAAAAUCAAGUUGCUUUUAUAUGUAAUUUUAAUUCCCAAAGCCACAUUUUUAAAAAAAGACAAAGAUUUGAAAGCUUUUGUUGGGGAAAAUAACGAAAAUUGUUUAUGGAGGGGCAAGUAAUUUAAAUAAAAAGUUUUUUAACCAAAAGUUAUAUCCAUGAAAAUGAAAUUCUAGAGAGGAUAUUCAGGUAAACUUAAAGGUUUUUUAUAAUUGUGGCCAAUGCAGAGCAUGUAGGAAUAUGAGGAUUAAAUCUAAACAAAAAUGAUACAUUUGUCUCAAGUGUAAAUAGAUCUAUUGGGCUAGGAGAAGACCUCCGCCGUUUCGCUGCCAUGGAACGAGAACUGGAGAUGGACUAUGUGGAACUACUAAAUUCAUGCCAACCGCAGAGCAUGGACGCAGACCGGGAAAACUGGGUGACGGACCCCGACCUGCUAGUCUACAGCUGGGACCGAGGUACCCCCUGUUUCACUACCAGCUGCAGAAGUAGGGGACCUCAUAGACUGAUCCUGGAGAGACCCACAGAUGGCUGGUGGAGAUGGGACCGAGAUCUCUCUACCGGCCCUACAGGGAUGCUGGGCAGUUGGCCCAGAUCCCCAGCGGCAGAGUACAUUACAGGAAGGAGAGACCACUGGUUUCACUCCCCAGCGGCAGAGCGCAUUAUUGGAAGGGGAGACAGUCGGUCCCCCUCUCUACCAGCAGAGAGUGUCAGGGAGAGCAGCCUGUUACCCCCUCUCCCCAGCAGCUGAAAGUGAGUAAGGGAGAGGAGCUUGUUACCCCCUCUCCCCAGCGGCAGCGUAGCCCACCAAGGGGAGACAGUAAGCCCCACAACAGUGCAGAUGGGACCAUAGUCUCUGCACCUACACCUCUGGGGAUAGGGACAGUCUGUCCUGGCCCCCAACAGCAGGACAAUGUAUUGGAAGGGGAGACAGUUGUUUUCCCCUACAACAAGAGAAGGGGGCGCAGGGAGAGGAGCCUGUUACCCCCUCUCCCCAGCGGCAGUCUACGGUUCAGAGAGAGGAGCUGGUUACCCCCUCUCCCCAGCGGCAGCCUAGCCCACCAAGGGGAGAUGAUAAGCCCCACAACUGUGCAGAUGGGACCGUGGUCUCUGCACUUACAGCACAAGGAGUAGGGAUGGGCGGUCCUGUCACCCAGCAACAGAACUUUGUAUCCAGAGGGGAGACAGUUGGUCUCCCCCUCCCACAACAAGGCUCCAACCAGGCUACUUCCGUGGUAGCACUGGCAGCAGGGCAGAGUACUGCUGGUCUCUGCCCACUCAGCAACCCACCAAGGCAGCCCACCAGUCCCCUGCACAGCCGGGGUAAAGGGGAGAAGUGUGGCGGAACCAACCUCUCCACUGUCCACUGGAGAGGCCUGGUUGCUCGCCUGCUCCCUUUAGACUAUGGUCCUGCAUUUUAAACUUUUAUUUUACCUGCAGAAAGGUUUAUUCGUGCCUUUCUGCUGACUGUUAAAGCCAUGCUACCCCAGAUAGCUAUGCCAUGGAGCUCAGCCGUAAACUGAAAGACUGUAUGAAAGACUUUGGCUCCAUGGCGAUUGAACUGUAUGUAUGUGAUCUGAGCACCAUCCGGUAAUAAUGUGCGCUCAGAUCUAAGCUAUCUGGGGAUAGGUAGAAUGUGUAUGUUCCAUGUGAUAAAUGUAACAGUAUGUAUUUUUAUGUCUUUUAUUGUCCUUUGUCUGCCAUGUGGCUAAUGGAGUUUUGCCUCUGUCCUUGGAGAUAAUUUGAUUACUUCCCAAUUAUCUCCAGGAUAGAAGACUCUGUGGAACUGGUUUUGGGCAGAAAAACCAUGCUUCAUUUGGUCAAAUAGGACUUUCCCUUAACUUUUUAACCCCUGGAUGGAAUUGGCUGAAUUUUGGUUAUGUUUAUAUUUAAAGUAUGCUGAUUCUGAAUAUGUAUGUUUUCUGUGAAUAUGAUGCAUAUUUUCAAAGUUACAGUGUAUGUAUAAAAAGUUUUUCCUGCCUGUGAUAAAUUACAUUAACCCAUUGUGUUCAGUAAUUAUAUCAUAGGCAGAGGGGAGGGAUGUAUGUUUGUGCUGGGUGUGUUUAACGGUUCUCCUGUAAAUGAUUGGUUGUACUGUGGGAUGUCCCCUUGCAUGGGGACUUCCAUAAAAGCCAGUGUGUGGCCAUUACAGGGCAGUUCCUGCCUAACCCUCAAAGUGAAGUGUCGUCUCAUUAUUGGGGGAGGAUUUAUUGUAUGCUGUUCCAGUUUGACUGCUAGGAGUGUAAACCUAUUCGCAUGGUUUUUCCUAUUCGGCUGUAUACAACAUUCAUAUGCUUAAAAGUACUCUUAUGCUUCUCCGGUUCGGUGAUUGUGGUGUCUGCCAGAGUGCUUGGAGUCCUCAGGAAAUGCUAAGAGCAUCCUUUAACGGAGGUACCCAGUCGGGGUGCCAGGUGAUCCGUUACAAGGUGAAAUGGAUCUUUGGCAUUGAAACCCUCUCUCCAAAUAACUUAAAUAUAGACUUAGAGUUAUGUAAUUAUAGUUAACCCCUUAAGGACGGAGCCAAAUGUACACGUUGUGAACGAAACAAAAUGUAAUCAAAACCUGGCAUUUGCGCUACAUGUCUGUCCAACAGUAAUUCACCUCUUUCAUAUUAAAUACACCCACCCUUAUUAUAUAUCAUUUUAUUCAGGGGAAACAGGGCUUUCAUUUAAUAUCAAAUAUUUAGCUAUGAAACAUAAUUUAAUAUGAAGAAAAUGGGAGAAAAUAAGAUUUUUUUUGAUUUUUUUAGUUCUACAUGACAUUUUAACGGUCAAUGUCAUAAUACUGUUUGCUUUUACUGCAAUAAAAUACACACAUUUGUAUUCAGCAAAGUCUCAUGUGUAAAACAGUACCCCCUAUGUACAGGUUUUAUGGCGUUUUGGGAAGUUACAGGGUCAAAUAUAGCACGUUACAUUUGAAAUUGAAAUUCACCAGAUUGGUUAUGUUGCCUUUGGGACUUUAUAGUAGCCCAGGAAUGAAAUUUACACCCAUAAUGGCAUACCAUUUGCAAUAGUAGACAACCCAAGGUAUUGCAAAUGGGGUAUGUCCAGUCUUUUUUAGUAGCCAUUUGGUCACAAACACUGGCCAAAGUUAGCGUUAGUAUUUGUUUGUGUGUGAAAAAUGCAAAAACGCCAAUUUUGGCCAGUGUUUGUGACUAAGUGGCUACUAAAAAAGACUGGACAUACCCCGCUUGCAAUACCUUGGGUUGUCUACUAUUGCAAAUGGUAUGCCAUCAUAGGGGUAAUUUUCAUUCUUGGGCUACCAUAGGGUCUCA